rnacentral:rRNA from 1 species
UAGGAAUCUGCCCAUUUGUGGGGGAUAACCCGGCGAAAGCCGGGCUAAUACCGCAUACGCUCUACGGAGGAAAGCGGGGGAUCGUAAGACCUCGCGCUAAUGGAUGAGCCUACGUCGGAUUAGCUAGUUGGUAGGGUAAUGGCCUACCAAGGCUACGAUCAGUAGCUGGUCUGAGAGGAUGAUCAGCCACAUUGGGACUGAGACACGGCCCAAACUCCUACGGGAGGCAG